AGUCUUAUAUUCAAUAAUGAUAUAAAAUUGCAAAUUUUAUGGUGUAUUAAAUUACUAAGGCUU
rnacentral:tRNA from 1 species